rnacentral:tRNA from 1 species
GCCCGGAUGGUCUAGUGGUAAGUUUUAUCCAAUCAAACAUUCCACCACCUUCAUCGUCUAACAAAUUCAUAGGUAUGAUUCUCGCUUUGGGUGCGAGAGGUCCCGCGUUCGAAUCGCGGUUCGGGCC